rnacentral:rRNA from 1 species
AGUGAACGCUGGCGGUAGGCCUAACACAUGCAAGUCGAACGGCAGCACAGAGGAGCUUGCUCCUUGGGUGGCGAGUGGCGGGCGGGUGAGGAAUACAUCGGAAUCUACGCUCUCGUGAGGGAUAACGUAGGCAAACUUACGCUAAUACGCCAUUCGACCUACGGGUGGAAGCAGGGGACCUUCGGGCCUUGCGCGAGUGAAGGGUCCGAUGUCGGAUUAGCUAGUUGGCGGGGCAAAGGCCCACCAAGGCGACGAUCCGUAGCUGGGCUGAGAGGAUGAUCCGGCACACUGGAACUGAGAAACGGUACAGACUCCUACGGGAGGCAGCAGUGGGGAAUAUUGGACAAUGGGCGCAAGCCUGAUCCAGCCAUACCGCGUGGGUGAAGAAGGCCUUCGGGUUGUAAAGCCCUUUUGUUGGGAAAGAAAUUCAGCUGGCUAAUACCCGGUUGGGAUGACGGUACCCAAAGAAUAAGCACCGGCUAACUUCGUGCCAGCCGCCGCCGUAA